UACGUAGGUGGCAAGCGUUGUCCGGAAUUAUUGGGCGUAAAGGGCUCGUAGGCGGUCUGUCGCGUCGGGAGUGAAAACUUACAGCUUAACUGUGAGCGUGCUUCCGAUACGGGCAGACUUGAGGUAUUCAGGGGAGAACGGAAUUCCUGGUGUAGCGGUGAAAUGCGCAGAUAUCAGGAGGAACACCGGUGGCGAAGGCGGUUCUCUGGGAAUAUCCUGACGCUGAGGAGCGAAAGUGUGGGGAGCGAACAGG
rnacentral:rRNA from 1 species